ensembl:lncRNA
AUGGACUCUCUCUUUUCUAGCAUUUUAAAUACAGUUGCUCCUUUACGCUUAAGGAAGGUUAAGGAAAACAGUCUGACACCGUGGUAUAAUGAGCACACUCGCACCCUAAAGAGAGCAGCCCGGAAAAUGGAGCGCAGCUGGAGGAAAACAAAACUAGAGGUAUUUCGUAUUGCUUGGAGGGAAAGUAACCUAUCUUACAGAAAAGCAUUAAAAACUGCUAAAUCUGAUUACUUUUCGUCUCUUUUAGAAGAAAACAAACAUAACCCCAGGUAUUUAUUCAAUACAGUGGCUAAAUUAACGAAAAAUAAAGCAUCAACAAGUGUUGACAUUUCCCAACAUCACAGCAGUAAUGACUUUAUGAACUACUUUACUUCUGAAAUCGAUACUAUUAGAGAUAAAAUUGUAACCAUGCAGCCGUCAGCUACAGUAUUGCAUCAGACAGUGCACUAUAGAUCCCCUGAGGAACAGUUCCACUCAUUCUCUACUAUAGGAGAGGAAGAAUUGUAUAAACUUGUUAAAUCAUCUAAACCAACAACAUGUAUGUUAGACCCUAUUCCAUCUAAGCUCCUAAAAGAGGUGUUUCCAGAAGUAAUAGAUCCUCUUCUGACUAUUAUUAAUUCCUCAUUGUCAUUAGGGUAUGUCCCCAAAACCUUCAAACUGGCUGUUAUUAAGCCUCUCAUCAAAAAAACACAACUUGAUCCCAAAGAACUAGUUAAUUAUAGACCAAUCUCGAAUCUCCCUUUUCUGUCCAAGAUACUAGAAAAGGUAGUAUCCUCACAAUUAUAUACCUUCUUAGAGAAAGAUGGUAUCUGUGAGGAUUUCCAGUCAGGAUUUAGACCGUAUCAUAAUACUGAGACUGCUCUCCUUAGAGUUACAAAUGACCUGCUCUUAUCAUCUGAUUGUGGUUGUAUCUCUCUAUUAGUGCUAUUGGAUCUUAGUGCUCCGUUUGACACUAUUGACCACACCAUUCUUUUGCAUAGACUAGAACACUUUGUUGGCAUUAAUGGAAGUGCAUUAGCAUGGUUUAAAUCGUUCUUAUUGUCAGGAUCGUGA